GGGGUCGUAGUAUAACCUGGUUAGUACUCAAGGUUUGGGACUUUGAAAUCUGAGUUCAAAUCUCAGCGACCCCA
rnacentral:tRNA from 1 species